UACAGAGGGUGCGAGCGUUGUUCGGAAUUAUUGGGCGUAAAGCGCGCGCAGGUGGUUUCUUAAGUCUGAUGUGAAAGCCCACGGCUCAACCGUGGAGGGUCAUUGGAAACUGGGGAACUUGAGUGCAGAAGAGGAAAGUGGAAUUCCAAGUGUAGCGGUGAAAUGCGUAGAGAUUUGGAGGAACACCAGUGGCGAAGGCGACUUUCUGGUCUGUAACUGACACUGAGGGACGAAAGCUAGGGGAGCGAAAGGG
rnacentral:rRNA from 1 species